UGGGGAAUAUUGGACAAUGGGCGGAAGCCUGAUCCAGCAACGCCGCGUGAGGGAUGACGGCCUUCGGGUUGUAAAGCUCUUUUACCAGGGAUGAUAAUGACAGUACCUGGAGAAUAAGCUCCGGCUAACUCCGUGC
rnacentral:rRNA from 1 species